GCCUGACCAGCCAUGCCGCGUGCAGGAUGACGGUCCUAUGGAUUGUAAACUGCUUUUGUACGGGAAGAAACACUCCGACGUGUCGGAGCUUGACGGUACCGUAAGAAUAAGGAUCGGCUAACUCCGUGCCAGCAGCCGCGGUAAUACGGAGGAUCCAAGCGUUAUCCGGAAUCAUUGGGUUUAAAGGGUCCGUAGGCGGUCUGGUAAGUCAGUGGUGAAAGCCCAUCGCUCAACGGUGGAACGGCCAUUGAUACUGCUGGACUUGAAUUACUGGGAAGCAACUAGAAUAUGUAGUGUAGCGGUGAAAUGCUUAGAGAUUACAUGGAAUACCAAUUGCGAAGGCAGGUUGCUACCAGUGGAUUGACGCUGAUGGACGAAAGCGUGGGUAGCGAACAGGAUUAGAUACCCUGGUAGUCCACGCCGUAAACGAUGGAUACUAGCUGUUGGGAGCAAUCUCAGUGGCUAAGCGAAAGUGAUAAGUAUCCCACCUGGGGAGUACGUUCGCAAGAAUGAAACUCAAAGGAAUUGACGGGGGCCCGCACAAGCGGUGGAGCAUGUGGUUUAAUUCGAUGAUACGCGAGGAACCUUACCAAGGCUUAAAUGCAGACUGACCGAUUUGGAAACAGAUCUUUC
rnacentral:rRNA from 1 species